CGCGGCCUAUCAGCUUGUUGGUGGGGUAAUGGCCUACCAAGGCGGCGACGGGUAGCCGGCCUGAGAGGGUGUACGGCCACAUUGGGACUGAGAUACGGCCCAGACUCCUACGGGAGGCAGCAGUGGGGAAUAUUGCACAAUGGGCGCAAGCCUGAUGCAGCGACGCCGCGUGGGGGACGAAGGCCUUCGGGUUGCAAACUCCUUUCGCUAGGGACGAAGCUUUGUGUGACGGUACCUAGAUAAGAAGCACCGGCUAACUACGUGCCAGCAGCCGCGGUAAUACGUAGGGUGCGAGCGUUGUCCGGAAUUACUGGGCGUAAAGGGCUCGUAGGUGGUUUGUCGCGUCGUCUGUGAAAUUCUGGGGCUUAACUCCGGGCGUGCAGGCGAUACGGGCAUAACUUGAGUGCUGUAGGGGUAACUGGAAUUCCUGGUGUAGCGGUGAAAUGCGCAGAUAUCAGGAGGAACACCGAUGGCGAAGGCAGGUUACUGGGCAGUUACUGACGCUGAGGAGCGAAAGCAUGGGUAGCGAACAGGAUUAGAUACCCUGGUAGUCCAUGCCGUAAACGGUGGGCGCUAGGUGUGAGGGUCUUUCUACGACUUUCGUGCCGUAGCUAACGCAUUAAGCGCCCCGCCUGGGGAGUACGG
rnacentral:rRNA from 1 species